rnacentral:rRNA from 1 species
AGAGUUUGAUCCUGGCUCAGAUUGAACGCUGGCGGCAGGCCUAACACAUGCAAGUCGAACGGUAACAGGAAGAAGCUUGCUUCUUUGCUGACGAGUGGCGGACGGGUGAGUAAUGUCUGGGAAACUGCCUGAUGGAGGGGGAUAACUACUGGAAACGGUAGCUAAUACCGCAUAACGUCGCAAGACCAAAGAGGGGGACCUUCGGGCCUCUUGCCAUCGGAUGUGCCCAGAUGGGAUUAGCUUGUUGGUGGGGUAACGGCUCACCAAGGCGACGAUCCCUAGCUGGUCUGAGAGGAUGACCAGCCACACUGGAACUGAGACACGGUCCAGACUCCUACGGGAGGCAGCAGUGGGGAAUAUUGCACAAUGGGCGCAAGCCUGAUGCAGCCAUGCCGCGUGUAUGAAGAAGGCCUUCGGGUUGUAAAGUACUUUCAGCGGGGAGGAAGGGAGUAAAGUUAAUACCUUUGCUCAUUGACGUUACCCGCAGAAGAAGCACCGGCUAACUCCGUGCCAGCAGCCGCGGUAAUACGGAGGGUGCAAGCGUUAAUCGGAAUUACUGGGCGUAAAGCGCACGCAGGCGGUUUGUUAAGUCAGAUGUGAAAUCCCCGGGCUCAACCUGGGAACUGCAUCUGAUACUGGCAAGCUUGAGUCUCGUAGAGGGGGGUAGAAUUCCAGGUGUAGCGGUGAAAUGCGUAGAGAUCUGGAGGAAUACCGGUGGCGAAGGCGGCCCCCUGGACGAAGACUGACGCUCAGGUGCGAAAGCGUGGCCAGCAAACAGGGAUUUAGAUACCCUGGUAGUCCACGCCGUAAACGAUGUCGACUUGGAGGUUGUGCCCUUGAGGCGUGGCUUCCGGAGCUAACGCGUUAAGUCGACCGCCUGGGGAGUACGGCCGCAAGGUUAAAACUCAAAUGAAUUGACGGGGGCCCGCACAAGCGGUGGAGCAUGUGGUUUAAUUCGAUGCAACGCGAAGAACCUUACCUGGUCUUGACAUCCACGGAAGUUUUCAGAGAUGAGAAUGUGCCUUCGGGAACCGUGAGACAGGUGCUGCAUGGCUGUCGUCAGCUCGUGUUGUGAAAUGUUGGGUUAAGUCCCGCAACGAGCGCAACCCUUAUCCUUUGUUGCCAGCGGUCCGGCCGGGAACUCAAAGGAGACUGCCAGUGAUAAACUGGAGGAAGGUGGGGAUGACGUCAAGUCAUCAUGGCCCUUACGACCAGGGCUACACACGUGCUACAAUGGCGCAUACAAAGAGAAGCGACCUCGCGAGAGCAAGCGGACCUCAUAAAGUGCGUCGUAGUCCGGAUUGGAGUCUGCAACUCGACUCCAUGAAGUCGGAAUCGCUAGUAAUCGUGGAUCAGAAUGCCACGGUGAAUACGUUCCCGGGCCUUGCACACAAGGCCCGUCA